GGAAAUCAGGCAAAUGACUCUAAGAAUGGGAUUUUCACACCUGACUUAUAUCAGCUCAGAGCUGAUAUAAGACUCCUCUUACUGUAAGUGAAGAGAAGCAGGUGCCUCUGCAGAUAACCCCACAAUCAGGCAGGCAAAAGCUGAAGCAGGCCUGACUGUGCCCCAACACUGGGAAGAGCAGGGUCCCCCAGGGCCUUUGCCCACCGUGUGUGGUUUGUUGCCACCUCUGGUUGUUUUUCAGUGGGAUCACCUCUCUGGUCUGGAAACUAUGCCUGUGGCGGAUGGGCAAUGGAGAAGAGCAGUGCUGCGGAAAAAUGACUGUUUUGUUCAACCGGAGAGCUAGAGGAAAAUGUUUGUCAGAAUAGAGCAAAGGCUCUGAAUGAGCUGUGCAGGUCUAACACCUCACAAGCUGCCAGUACAGGGAAGUCUUCAGUUCUGUUUCCUUUCCUGUUGCCAGCACCAUGUUACCGCUACUUCCUUUUGCAAUGGCUCUAGCACUUGUAAAAACCUUCUGUGACCUGAGACGUCUUAAUCACCUGACAGAAAAUAAAAAGUCAAUAGAUUUUAUGUGGGCUCAUGAGUAGAGCUGGAUCACAGGUGUCAGAUGUGCAGCAGAGCUGGCAAACAUGGAGAUGGGAUGACCUGGGGAUGAGGAGAGGAGAAAAAAAAUCGAACUAGGGAAGGUCUGACAUCAUCCUCUCAAUGGUCAGGAGUUGUUAGAUCAGCUGCUCAUCAAACCACACCCUCAGGGCCCCUUCUUAUAGCAUGCUAUAUGAGAUCUAAUUGCAGGCAGACACUGGAAGGGACAGUCCCACUUUCCUCCAGGCCUCCAGCUGCACAUUGCUGGUAGGCAUGACUGCAGAUGGGAGGGGAGGCGAGGCCCAGCAACCACAAUUGGGUUGGAUUUGCAAA